rnacentral:rRNA from 1 species
CACGUAGGGUGCAAGCGUUGUCCGGAAUCAUUGGGCGUAAAGAGCUCGUAGGCGGCUCAGUAAGUCGGGUGUGAAAACCCCAGGCUCAACCUGGGGACGCCACCCGAUACUGCUAUAGCUAGAGUCCAGUAGGGGAGUGUGGAAUUCCCAGUGUAGCGGUGAAAUGCGCAGAUAUUGGGAGGAACACCAGCGGCGAAGGCGGCACUCUGGGCUGGUACUGACGCUGAGGAGCGAAAGCGUAGGUAGCGAACAGG